GAAUUAAAUGGAUGAAAUAUGAAGUUUUAUUAAAAGAAAAAAGGGUGAAAAGAACAAAGUUUUGUCCAUCUUUGUUCAUCAUAGCUGAAAGUUAGAGAAGAGAAAGGAGAGGAGAAAGCUCUUGAGUAUUCGGUCAUUAGGAGGAGGAAAAUUGAAGGUGGUUCGUGUGUGGAUCUCGUCAGCAUAUCGUCGCAAACAGAUUUGCGAGUGUGCGAAUGCUCGUGAGGUAAAUCGAUUAAUGUUUUUGGUAAGCUGCA